rnacentral:tRNA from 1 species
AAAUAAGAAGCAAAAUUUGCAAUUAGUUUCGACCUAAUCAUUGGUAUAAAUAAAAUAUACCCUUAUUUU